AUUCCAGCUCCAGUAGCGUAUAUUAAAGUUGUUGCAGUUAAAAAGCUCGUAGUUGGAUUUCUGGUACGGCGCGUUUGGCCGACACCCGUUAGGGUGUUCUGUGCCGUGCGCGCCUGCCAUCUUUCUAGAAAACCUCUCUACCCUUCACUGGGCCGGAUUGGCAGAUCUAGAACUUUUACUUUGAAAAAAUUAGAGUGUUUAAAGCAGGCUUGUGCUAUGAAUACAUUAGCAUGGAAUAAUAAUUUAGGACUUUGGUCCUAUUUUGUUGGUUUCUAGGACCGAAGUAAUGAUUGAUAGGGGUAGAUGGGGGUGCUAGUAUUCAGCGGCCAGAGGUGAAAUUCUUGGAUUCGCUGAAGACUAACUUAUGCGAAAGCAUUCACCAAGGAUGUCUUCAUUA
rnacentral:rRNA from 1 species